GUCUAGAGAAGACAGAGCUCAGAGUCAGUUCAAAUAAAAUAUUUAACUAAAAUGCUCCUCAAUUUCUCAAUUCUUCUCGGACAAGCAUUAUCCAGUUGAAUCGGACCCUAAUCCGAAUCAGCAUCAAUAGAACCCAUAAAUUGGUUUCUCAUGGAGUCUUUUCGUAAAGAGUCGGGAAAAGACACUUAUUUGCAGACAACGAGAAACGGUCAACAGUUAUUUGCGAGCUCUGAUUUUGAUUCAUUCUAAAUACAAUAAAAGUUGAGCUUGAUCAGAAAGAGCUAUUCUUCGAGCUGUUAACUGUUAGAUCAGAUGCUUACCAAGCCUGUGCCGUCGCGCUUUUAAUUCUAGCCCAAGCCUCAUCAG